AACGAACGCUGGCGGCAUGCCUAGCACAUGCAAGUCGAACGAGACCUUCGGGUCUAGUGGCGCACGGGUGCGUAACGCGUGGGAAUCUGCCCUCUGGUUCGGAAUAACUCAGGGAAACUUGAGCUAAUACCGGAUAAUGACUUCGGUCCAAAGAUUUAUCGCCUGAGGAUGAGCCCGCGUCGGAUUAGCUAGUUGGUGAGGUAAAAGCUCACCAAGGCGACGAUCCGUAGCUGGUCUGAGAGGAUGAUCAGCCACACUGGGACUGAGACACGGCCCAGACUCCUACGGGAGGCAGCAGUGGGGAAUAUUGGACAAUGGGCGAAAGCCUGAUCCAGCAAUGCCGCGUGAGUGAUGAAGGCCUUAGGGUUGUAAAGCUCUUUUACCCGGGAUGAUAAUGACAGUACCGGGAGAAUAAGCCCCGGCUAACUCCGUGCCAGCCGCCGCCGUAAGAC
rnacentral:rRNA from 1 species